GGGAAUGUGGCCUAGUGGUAGAGUGCUUGCCUUGCAUGCAUGAAGCCCUGGGUUCAAUUCCUCAGUACCA
rfam:Dipodomys ordii contig_30075, whole genome shotgun sequence.